rnacentral:rRNA from 1 species
GAUGAACGCUGGCGGCGUGCCUAAUACAUGCAAGUCGAGCGAAUGGAUUAAGAGCUUGCUCUUAUGAAGUUAGCGGCGGACGGGUGAGUAACACGUGGGUAACCUGCCCAUAAGACUGGGAUAACUCCGGGAAACCGGGGCUAAUACCGGAUAACAUUUUGAACCGCAUGGUUCGAAAUUGAAAGGCGGCUUCGGCUGUCACUUAUGGAUGGACCCGCGUCGCAUUAGCUAGUUGGUGAGGUAACGGCUCACCAAGGCAACGAUGCGUAGCCGACCUGUGAGGGUGAGCGGCCACCAUGGGACUGAGACACGGCCCAGACUCCUACGGGAGGCAGCAGUAGGGAAUCUUCCGCAAUGGACGAAAGUCUGACGGAGCAACGCCGCGUGAGUGAUGAAGGCUUUCGGGUCGUAAAACUCUGUUGUUAGGGAAGAACAAGUGCUAGUUGAAUAAGCUGGCACCUUGACGGUACCUAACCAGAAAGCCACGGCUAACUACGUGCCAGCCGCCGCGGUAA